GAUGAACGCUGGCGGCGUGCCUAAUGCAUGCAAGUCGAGCGAACGGACGAGAAGCUUGCUUCUCUGAUGUUAGCGGCGGACGGGUGAGUAACACGUGGAUAACCUACCUAUAAGACUGGGAUAACUUCGGGAAACCGGAGCUAAUACCGGAUAAUAUUUUGAACCGCAUGGUUCAAAAGUGAAAGACGGUCUUGCUGUCACUUAUAGAUGGAUCCGCGCUGCAUUAGCUAGUUGGUAAGGUAACGGCUUACCAAGGCAACGAUGCAUAGCCGACCUGAGAGGGUGAUCGGCCACACUGGAACUGAGACACGGUCCAGACUCCUACGGGAGGCAGCAGUAGGGAAUCUUCCGCAAUGGGCGAAAGCCUGACGGAGCAACGCCGCGUGAGUGAUGAAGGUCUUCGGAUCGUAAAACUCUGUUAUUAGGGAAGAACAUAUGUGUAAGUAACUGUGCACAUCUUGACGGUACCUAAUCAGAAAGCCACGGCUAACUACGUGCCAACAGCCGCGGUAAUACGUAGGUGGCAAGCGUUAUCCGGAAUUAUUGGGCGUAAGCGCGCGUAGGCGGUUUUUUAAGUCUGAUGUGAAAGCCCACGGCUCAACCGUGGAGGGUCAUUGGAAACUGGAAAACUUGAGUGCAGAAGAGGAAAGUGGAAUUCCAUGUGUAGCGGUGAAAUGCGCAGAGAUAUGGAGGAACACCAGUGGCGAAGGCGACUUUCUGGUCUGUAACUGACGCUGAUGUGCGAAAGCGUGGGGAUCAAACAGGAUUAGAUACCCUGGUAGUCCACGCCGUAAACGAUGAGUGCUAAGUGUUAGGGGGUUUCCGCCCCUUAGUGCUGCAGCUAACGCAUUAAGCACUCCGCCUGGGGAGUACGACCGCAAGGUUGAAACUCAAAGGAAUUGACGGGGACCCGCACAAGCGGUGGAGCAUGUGGUUUAAUUCGAAGCAACGCGAAGAACCUUACCAAAUCUUGACAUCCUUUGACAACUCUAGAGAUAGAGCCUUCCCCUUCGGGGGACAAAGUGACAGGUGGUGCAUGGUUGUCGUCAGCUCGUGUCGUGAGAUGUUGGGUUAAGUCCCGCAACGAGCGCAACCCUUAAGCUUAGUUGCCAUCAUUAAGUUGGGCACUCUAAGUUGACUGCCGGUGACAAACCGGAGGAAGGUGGGGAUGACGUCAAAUCAUCAUGCCCCUUAUGAUUUGGGCUACACACGUGCUACAAUGGACAAUACAAAGGGCAGCGAAACCGCGAGGUCAAGCAAAUCCCAUAAAGUUGUUCUCAGUUCGGAUUGUAGUCUGCAACUCGACUACAUGAAGCUGGAAUCGCUAGUAAUCGUAGAUCAGCAUGCUACGGUGAAUACGUUCCCGGGUCU
rnacentral:rRNA from 1 species